GCGGAGGAAAAGAAACUAACAAGGAUUCCCCUAGUAACGGCGAGUGAAGCGGGAAGAGCUCAAAUUUGUAAUCUGGCCCUUUCAGGGUCCGAGUUGUAAUCUCGAGAAGUGUUUUCCGCGCCGGACCGCAUACAAGUCUGUUGGAAUACAGCGUCAUAGUGGUGAGAGCCCCGUAAUUGAUGUGGAUGCCCGGUGCUUUGUGAUACACUUUCGAAGAGUCGAGUUGUUUGGGAAUGCAGCUCAAAUUGGGUGGUAAAUUCCAUCUAAAGCUAAAUAUUGGCGAGAGACCGAUAGCGAACAAGUACCGUGAGGGAAAGAUGAAAAGCACUUUGGAAAGAGAGUUAACAGUACGUGAAAUUGUUGGAAGGGAAACGCUUGAAGUCAGACUUGCUAUUCGGAAUUCAGCCGCAAGGUGUACUUUUCGAUUUGCAGGCCAGCAUCAGUUUUUGGGGGUGGAAAAGGGUGGAGAGAAGGUAGCAACCUUGGUUGUGUUAUAGCUCUUUACUGGAUUCAUCUUUGGGGACUGAGGAUCGCAGUGCGCAAUUUACUUUGCAAACCUUUCGAGGUUUUCGUACUUAGGAUGCUGGUGGAAUGGCUUUAAACGACCCGUCUUG
rnacentral:rRNA from 1 species